rnacentral:lncRNA from 1 species
UUACACAAAAUGGAUAAAGGUCCAAAUUUACUGUCAUUACUCAAAAUUCACCUAGUCGUGAUGACACAUAACCCAACCAGCUAGGUAAGACAAAUAACAUUUAUUACAACAAAACUGAGAAAUCAACAAUGUAUAUAAUAGAAACCAUAACCCAAUUCAAUACAAAUACCCCAAGGACUAGUAGUACAAGUCAUGAGUCACUAUGAUUUAGAUUUACGAAAAUAGUAUGAAAAAUAAAUACAAUAUAUGUUUAAAAUUUAUAUAAACAUUGAUGAAAUCCAAAACUACCAUGAACAAGAGGUAGCUUGAAUUUGGAAUGUGAGUACGUCUUCAAUUCAAGGCUUCAUCUUCCUCGGCUACUUAGCUCCAAGAUCUGCACGCAAGGUGCAAAAGUGUAGUACGAGUACAACCGACCCCAUGUAUUCAAUAAGUAUCUUGACUAACCUCGGUGAAGUAGUGAUAAAAUUUUAAGUAAAAGAUACUCAUUUAAUAUGUACAUGUGCAGAUAAUAAGCAGGAAAAACUAGGCAAGAGUAUGUGAAUAAUGGAAGGAGUAUCAACUGAAGAGCUACGGAGCAAGUUAAAAGGCAUGGAAAACAACACAUAACCUCAUAACUAUUUCUACAAAGGUAACAAUAAUCAUGAAAUACACACAAGGAUCAUAACCCAACAUCACCAAUAAAUACCGUUGCGGUGUGCAACCCAAUUCCAGCAUCAAUAAAUAUUGUUGUGGCGUGCAAUCCAAUCCCAAUAUCAAUAAACUCUGUUGCAGCGUGCAACCCAAUCCCAAUAUCAAUAAAUAGUUACAGCAUGCAACCGGAUCCCAAUAUUAAUAAUAUCAUAUAAAACUGCAACAAAACUAAAUGCAGAAAAAGUUCACAACAUAAUACUAAGAAAACGAACACGCGGUAUUCAACUAUGUAAUACAACUCAAACAGAGUAAGAGAGCAGUACAAUAUCAAAAUCUAGCCUACCGUGUAAAAUGGCAAGGCUUCCACAAAGCAUAACACACAACCAAUCUAAAAGUCACCAGUCCGAAUAAGCAAAAGAGAAUAGUACAUGAAACGAGUAAAGAUGUUUGUCAAGUAGGAACAGAGAUCAAAUGAAGGCAUUCAAUAUAUGAAAUCAUGUAGCAAGUAGAAUCAUAUAGCAAGUAAAGGUAUUAAAUAAGUGAAAGCUUAUGGUAAGUAAAAACAUAUAGUAAGUGAAGACAUGUAGUCAGCGAAAGCAUAUAGUGAGUGAAGACAUGUAGCAUGUUAAUGCAUUUAACAAGUAAAUCACGUGACAGUUAGAGGCAUAAAACAGGUAUGGGCUAAUAACAAGUAACAACAUUAAUUCAAAGAGGACAUGUAGUAGAAGUAAAUCAGGUAAAUACGUAGGUGUAAUAGCAACAAACAAGGUAAAGACAUAACUAUAACAGUAACGGGCCAAAAGAAAAAUGCAUAAGUAAUUACCAAACAAACUCAAACGGAAGGUAUCAUAUAAAAUAGCAAACAUUAAUAGAAACAAAGUAAAGGCAUGUACGUGCUUAACGAAUGAGUAAUCAUAAUAGAAAUCCAUCUUUCUUCUUUUUCGCAUAGUAAUAACCAAUAAACCAAUCUCAUUCCAAACUGCACGAAAAUACUCAUCGUGCCAAUAUCAUAUCAACUGCACGGAAAUAUCCAUCGUGCCAAUAUAUCCCGAAGGCCCCAAUCACCUUAUCUUAUUACAAAUAAAGAAGCUCAAGUAACAUGACAAUAACAUGUAUAGAUAUAGGUUUGUGAUUGUCACACCUACUUUUUACAACCCAAGGGUAUAAGAGAGUUUUUUCAAUUUAAGUAACAUAAGUCGAAAUGGAAUUAUUUAUUUAUUUAAUUGGAGUCGCCACUUUGAAUAAUUUAUUUAGUGUCCCAAGUCACCGGUUAAUUUUAAAUCCCAAAUCGAGGAAGUUUUCGACUUUAUUUAAAAGUCUGCGAACCAGAAAUUCUAGAUAAGGAAUUAUGUUAACCCGGGAGAAGGUGUUAGGCAUUCCCAGGUUCCGUGGUUCUAGCACGGUCGCUUAGUAAUUUAUACUUGGCUUAAAUUGUUUAACUACUCAUUUUAAGGACCUAUGUGCACUUAUCUUUUAACGUUUUUAAUCACUUGAUUUAUUUGUAUUUAAAGAUUGAGUUACGUGUACGUAUACUCUUUUCCUUUGGCACGUCAAAAAUUAUGUCACGCGAACGUGUCCACAAUUAAUAAUGCUUUGUUUAUUUAAUAAGAAAAUUUGGUUGAAGUUGCGCGAACACAUCCCUAGAGUUACUUUUUAGAAUUAAAUUCGCAAUUAUGUUACACGAACGUAUACAUAAUCACGAUAAUAGUCUAAGCCGAGCCUAAAGCAAAACUUGGAGUGUUAUGAUUAUUUAAUAUCUAAGUUAAUACUAAUGUGAGGGCCAUAGCUUAUGGAUUUUGUUUUGUGUAUGGAACACCUCGAAUUUGUUAUUAGGAUCAUAAUCAUGUCACGCGAAUGUGUACACAAUCACGAUGAUAAAUUAAACCACACUCCUAAAGCUUCUACGAAUUUAAGGAGUAUUUGAAUGCCUAAAAUUAAGACUACGUGUGAAAACUUAUACUAAUAAAGAAAAAAAGUUACAAACUUAAAGAAAUGACCAUAUUAGUAUCACUGUCCAUUGAUAUGUAACGAAGCUUUAGGUGAUCUACUGCUUUUCCCCAUUGAAAGUAGACUUCUGAAGAUAAUAAAUAUAGAACCCAUUUUUUGAGUGGAUAUGUAAAUCUUUAUAUGAUGUAAAAUAUUUCCACCAAUUUGAUAUAAUUCCUCUUAUACAAAAAACUGGGCUCGUCCUAGAUUAGUAGGAUGUGGGCGUAGACUGAAGCCCAAAAUGACAGCACAAAUGGCCUACCGUAUAGCCAGAAAGUCCUUUUUAACAACGAACCUCUAAGAUGGCUAACGUGAGACCAAGCCUAAACAAAGAAAUAUUGGUUUUUAGCCCUACUAAGUCCAAGGCUUCCACAUACACGAGGGAGUUUAGUAUUACAAAGUUUGUCGUACAGGGAUAUAACUCAAGAAUAAAUUAUCAAAGAACAGAGAUAUUUUAUUCGAAAUAGAAGAUAGUUAUUUACAUGAACUUUACUAUAGAAUUUGAACACCUUAUUUGUAUAUUAUCAGUUCUAAAUUGCACUAUCAAUCUUGAGAGGAGGAUCCAGGAAUUGAAUUUUAUGGGUUCAAACUUUAAGGUUUUUAGCAUUGAACCCAUUGCAUAUUUAAAAUUAUGGGUUCAUAUCUACUAUUUGUUAUAAUUUCAAUGAAUUUUUACACAUAAAUUUAUACUCGACACUGAAAGUACUGGGUUCAAUUGAACCCGGUAUAUAUACGUUGCAUCCUCCUCUAUCUAUCUUUCUUUCAACAUGAAGCAGUAAGAGCAUAUAAUCAUUUUACACAUUUGUAGUAAUGCUGAAACACUUCAUCCAAGAAUACUCAAACAUCAGUUAUAGCCUAGUUUUGACCAUACCCAACAUUCAUGAAAAGCUCACCUAUUAACAAUCAGUAAAAAUAUUGGACAGAAUCAUAUGGAGGUAGCAAAAGACUGAAAGUAAAUAUUUUUCUUUUAAAACUGGACUACUCAGCCUAAACUCGGCAUAUGUAAGAGGUGUUGUUCACAACCUAUCAACACUGAAUAUUCUAUUUAUUUCAUGAAUCCUCACUUCAAGACUUUAAUGUAAUUACACAUAAGCUAAUAAGAAAAGCCAAAAAGGCAGUAUUCAAAUGACUUAAAGGUAAAACAUCGAAAAGAAACAAAAAUGUGUAAAUAUGAACUCUAAGGCUUCAUGGCAGCAAGACACUCUUCAAAACAAACUUUUAUUCAUGAUUCAAAGAUCAAGAUAUACCUGGUUACAAGGAAUACGAACAAGGUUGUGAAUCUUCAAGGAGAAAAAGCAGCAAAGAUAGAGCAAAAAACUAAUGAAAACUAAGCAUCCAAAACUAGCAAUGUCACAACAUUCAAACUCAAGCCAUCUUGCAACUUAAGAACCCAGAAAUUUCAGAGGAAAAUUUGUUCUAACUUUUGUCGAAAUCAGCAAGGAAAUCGAUCAGCUUUCAAUGAAAUAAUAGCUGAAAUUUUUGUGCUCUUUAGGUUUCUGAAAAUUUGAUGUGUUUUUCAGAACCUUUGUGCAGAAAAUGAUGGUGAAUGUGUGUGUCUGAGUGAAGGAAUGUUGUUCCC